AUUGAACGCUGGCGGCAUGCCUUACACAUGCAAGUCGAACGGCAACGGGCCUUCGGGUGCCGACGAGUGGCGAACGGGUGAGUAAUGUAUCGGAACGUACCUUUCAGUGGGGGAUAACGUAGCGAAAGUUACGCUAAUACCGCAUAUUCUGUGAGCAGGAAAGCAGGGGAUAGCAAGACCUUGCGCUGAUUGAGCGACCGAUAUCAGAUUAGCUAGUUGGUGAGGUAAAGGCGAACCAAGGCGACGAUCUGUAGCGGGUCUGAGAGGAUGAUUCGCCACACUGGAACAGAGACACGGUCCAGACUCCUACGGGAGGCAGCAAUGGGGAAUUUUGGACAAUGGGGGCAACCCUGAUCCGGCCAUGCCGCGUGAGUGAAGAAGGCCUUCGGGUUGUAAAGCUCUUUCGGCCGGGAAGAAAUCGUAUCAGCUAAUACCUGGUGCGGAUGACGGUACCGGCAUAAGAAGCACCGGCUAACUACGUGCCAGCCGCCGCCGUAACAC
rnacentral:rRNA from 1 species